AGCCGGAUGUGGCCGCCGUGGAGCCAGUCGAGCAUCAGUCACGCUGCGCAAUACGUGCUACGGAGACCGAGUGGCACCGCAACUGGUCCGUGGCUACGUCAGGAGACGCCGUUUUCCCAAGGCAGCGGGGAGGCCUGUCGGCGCUAUUUACUGUACGCGUGUAACUGUGGUGAAGAGAGGCCCAAUGCUUCAUGGCCUCCGGAGUCCAGACGGUGACAGAAUCCAGAAUCUGUAGGGAAGCGAUGCAAAGUCACCUGUGCCCCUUAAACAUGCUAAGUGAUUUAGUAUCUUAAUUUCUGUAAAAUCUCCACAAAUCAAUGCGUCCAUCUGGCUGCGUGGUGAUUAAGAAAGCCUUUUAUGUCUCCUUUAAUUUAGCGACACAGCAGCUAUCCAUUAUAACGCAGGAGGACUUCCUAUCGGCCUAUUGAUCACCUCGGGCUCCCAAGUGAUUCAUCCCAACUCACCAGAUUGAUUCUGUCCCGGCUGUUUUGGCGAGCCAGCACAGAGUUGAAGUGGCGCUCUAAUUAAGGCACCAUCUCCGACAUCAUACGUGGCCGGGCGAGGUUUGCCUCGCUCGCGAGCGUCCCUCUGUCCAUAUUCACACGGCAUUGAACCUUUCAGUCUCAGGUUUAGUCCGUUAUGUUUCUAGGGAACGCAUUACAUCACUACAUCCACCCUGGACGGCCACAAUUAUCCAAUCAGAGAAGCACAGUAAUCAGGGAGGUGACUAGAAUCACCUUGAUUUGUGUUUUUCAUUCACGCACGGCAGAGGUAAUGCUUAUCUCAAAUACAGUGAUCUGAGCAAAUACAAUCAGGUUCCCAAUUUCAAUCCUUUCAGCUGCAUAGCAAAUGCGGGGCCUGGUUUAGUAUGCAGCUCUACUGGGCUCAGUGUCUGAGAAUGUAAUUAUCUCGGUAAAGAAGGCAAAGUGAAGCCCAUGUUGGCUUCCGUGUCCUUGGCUGCAGGAGCAGGAAAAUAAAUCUUGAGAACAGAUCUGAUUCGAGGUACA
rnacentral:lncRNA from 1 species